rnacentral:rRNA from 1 species
UACAGAGGUCUCAAGCGUUGUUCGGAUUUACUGGGCGUAAAGGGCGCGUAGGCGGCUUAACAAGUCACUUGUGAAAUCUCCGGGCUUAACUCGGAACGGCCAAGUGAAACUGUCAAGCUAGAGUGCAGAAGGGGCAAUCGGAAUUCUUGGUGUAGCGGUGAAAUGCGUAGAUAUCAGGAGGAACACCUGAGGUGAAGACGGGUUGCUGGGCUGACACUGACGCUGAGGCGCGAAAGCCAGGGGAGCAAACGGG